UUUCCUCCGUUUCUCUCUGUUUUCUCCUCUCAUUUGUUCUUGAGUGGAGAUUAUCAAUUAAGCAGCAGCAUGUAAAGAUCAGAGAUGGCGGCACCUUUCACGUUGAGGAAAAUCGGAGUCCCGCCGAACUCAGCGAACCUGACGGAAGCUCGACGCCGUGUAUUCGACUUCUUCAGAGCUGCGAGUAGAUCCCUCCCCACCGUAAUGGACAUUUACAAUCUUCAAGAUGUCGUCGCGCCUUCUCAGCUACGUUUCGCAAUAACGCUCACGUCAUUGAUCCUAAGCCAAGAACAUUAUUCUCGCUGGUGUGAAGUCAGUGACUCUUCACGAUGAAAAUGUGGUUGAGCUAUGGGACUUGUCUAGUAACUUUGUUUUCUCGGAGGAGGACGUUGGUAAGAAUAGGGCACUUGCUUCUCUUCAGAAGCUGCAAGAACUCCACAAUGCCGUGAAUGUCUCAAACUUUGACCGACAAGUUAACCAAAGAGCAGCUUUCUUGUUUCCAGUUUCUUCCACGGCUAUGAUCACCUGCUACGCGAAGCAAGGGAACGUUGAGGCUGCGAGGGAUUUGUUCGAAAGAGUGCCUGAGACUGAGAGAGACAUUGUUUCUUGG